rnacentral:rRNA from 1 species
GAUGAACGCUGGCGGCGUGCCUAAUACAUGCAAGUCGAGCGGAGCGGGGACGGGUGAGUAACACGUGGAUAACCUCCGAUAGGACUGGGUAAACUUCGGAAAACCGGAGUUAAACCGGAUACUAAUAGAUGGAUCCGCGCUUGAUUAGCUAGUGAGUGAGGUAACGGCUUACCAAGGCAACGAUGCAUAGCAGCCUGGAGAGGGUGAUCUGCCACACGGGAACUGAGACACGGUCCAGACUCCUACGGGAGGCAGCAGUAGGGAAUAUUCCGCAAUGGGCGAAAGCCUGACGGAGCAACGCCGCGGGAGUGAUGAAGGUCUUCGGAUCGUAAAACUCUGUUAUUAGGGAAGCGGUACCUAAUCAGAAAGCCACGGCUAACUACGUGCCAGCAGCCGCGGUAAUAC